GAUGAACGCUGGCGGCGUGCCUAAUACAUGCAAGUCGAGCGAACAGAUGAGGAGCUUGCUCCUCUGACGUUAGCGGCGGACGGGUGAGUAACACGUGGAUAACCUACCUAUAAGACUGGGAUAACUUCGGGAAACCGGAGCUAAUACCGGAUAAUAUAUUGAACCGCAUUGUUCAAUAGUGAAAGACGGUUUUGCUGUCACUUAUAGCUUGAUCCGCGCCGCAUUAGCUAGUUGGUAAGGUAACGGCUUACCAAGGCAACGAUGCGUAGCCGACCAGAGAGGGUGAUCGGCCACACUGGAACUGAGACACGGUCCAGACUGCUACGGGAGGCAGCAGUAGGGAAUCUUCCGCGAUGGGCGAAAGCUUGACGGAGCAACGCCGCGUGAGUGAUGAAGGUCUUCGGAUCGUAAAACUCUGUUAUUAGGGAAGAACAAAUGUGUAAGUAACUAUGCACGUCUUGACGGUACCUAAUCAGAAAGCCACGGCUAACUACGUG
rnacentral:rRNA from 1 species